GCCUCGUCCAAAUUCCAAUUAAUAAAAGAUAAAAAAAAUUUUCUCACGAAUCCUCGCAAAAUUCCCAAAUCCCCUAUUCCGACCCCCGCCCCGCCUCGUCUCCCGUCUCUUCUACCGAGGAUCUCCGAUUUCGACCGGAGAUGGGGGACAAGAAGGGCCGAUUUCUGUCCCUUCCCGUUCUCUUGGUGAUCUCGCUGAUGGGGUUCGUUUACUACACGACGGUCUUUGUCUUCAUCGAGGACUGGUUGGGCCUCAGCACAUCUCUAGGGUUCCUUAAUUAUCUAAUCUUUAGUUGGGUCGCUUUCAUGAGCUUGCUGUCGUUCUUCGUCGCCGUCAUCAAAGAUCCCGGCGGCGUUCCCACUUAUUUUGCCCUAGACUGGGAAAAUCCCCCCAAACAUCAGGGUGUAACCUCAAGAUAUUGUGAUAAGUGCUCCACUUACAAGCCUCCUCGAUCACACCAUUGUCGAGUCUGCAAAAGGUGUGUGUUAAAAAUGGAUCAUCAUUGUGUCUGGAUAAGUAAUUGCGUGGGCUAUGGAAACUAUAAGCCCUUCAUCAUCUUUAUCUUACAUGCAGCUACAGGAUCCAUCUAUUCUACGGUGAUAUUUGUGAGUAGUAUCCUUCAAAAGGAUCAUGAUUUCAGCAGAACUUCUCGCAAGCUUUUUUAUGUCUUAUGCGGUUUUGUGAUGAUUAGCUUAAGCUUGACUAUAGGUACUCUGCUGGGUUGGCACAUAUAUCUCCUAACACACAACAUGACAACCAUAGAGCUUUCUAUCAGUAUCGAGAGGCUGUUCGAGCAAUGUGGCUAGCUAGGAAAAGUGGUCAGAAGUAUCGCCAUCAUUUUGACCUUGGUGUAUAUAAAAAUCUUAGCCAGAUUCUAGGUCCAAAUAUGUUCAAAUGGCUUUGCCCCAUGGCAUUAGGCCAUCUCAAAAAUGGGACGGAGUUUCCCAUUUCAAAUGACUGAACCCAAUUUGCAUCUACUUUAAAGUCUGGGAAUUUUAAAUCGGUGGCUAGAUUGCUAUUUAUGUGCAAUUCAUCCUGGUCGGCCUCGUUGAAGCCGUCUGUCAACCUUGCUGCAUGUUUUUUUGGGUGAGAGAGAGAGAGAACAAAAUCCAACAACAGUUUGUUUGAAGCACCACAAGGAUGAUCCCUCAUAACUGGAACAUUGUAUCAUAAUUCCUAUACAAGUUCUUAUUUUUGAGCUCAAAAUCACCUUUAUCCUUGCAAGGUUUCCCCCCUUUGCACAAGAGUUGUAUGGUGAUUUGUUGAUUGAUAGAUAUGUUGAUUAAUAGAUAUCUUUUCACACUGGUUAUUGGUUCGGCAGUUGAUUGAUAAUUACACAUCUAUUAUUGCUA